AUUGAACGCUGGCGGCAGGCUUUACACAUGCAAGUCGAACGAGUGGCGGACGGGUGAGUAAUGUCUGGGAAACUGCCUGAAGGAGGGGGAUAACUACUGGAAACGGUAGCUAAUACCGCAUACCAUCAGAUGUGCCCAGAUGGGAUUAGCUAGUAGGUGGGGUAACGGCUCACCUAGGCGACGAUCCCUAGCUGGUCUGAGAGAAUGACCAUCCACACUGGAACUGAGACACGGUCCGAACUCCUACGGUAGGCAGCAGUGGGGAAUAUUGCACAAUGGGCGCAAGCCUGAUGCAGCCCUGCCGCGUGUAUGAAGAGGGCCUUCGGGUUGUAAAGUACUUUCAGCGUGGAGGCGUUACCCGCAGAAGAAGCACCGGCUAACUCCGUGCCAGCAGCCGCGGUAGUAC
rnacentral:rRNA from 1 species